GAUAUGGGUUGGUCCGUUUAGGGCUGACCCUGGAAAAAAAAAGUUAUAUCAGUCUUGACAUUAAUUCCGUAGUCAGAGUAGGUGAGAGAGGAGUAGAUUAGUAUAUAGGGUUCCCAGCCUUCCCAGUACAACCAUGGACUCAGAGUUGGGGACACUAAAAAUGUACAUGAAGUUUAUGAUUUCACUGGUAGAGAUGGCCCACAAUGCCAGUUUGGACAGGCAUUACUCUAAACGUGGUGGGGAAGUCAGGAGACAUCUACUCCAAGGCAUAACCUCUAGGACAGUUUGUGGGGUAUCAGGGAAGGAUAUAUCAUUGGAAAGAUUUCUAGUUGCCAUACACAAAUAAUUGGGCUUCAGUUUAAUGCAUAAUUAACUGUUCUCAGUGUGUUAUUAGUUGGACAAUUGGAUUAUUACAUUAUUUACAUUAGUGUUUAUAGGUAAUCUGAAAACAAAAAUGUGAAUAUAAUAUGAACUACCUCAAAGAUUUGUCUCUGCUUAAUAGUUUUAUUUCAAAUUUGUAUAUCAAAUGUUUCAUUACCCUUUUUUCAUUUUAUUUUUUAGCUUUCAAAACAAAUUAGCAAGAGGAGGAAAGAGGAGAGGGAGAAACUGUGCACACCACCAGAAUGUUAUAGUAGGCGAUAUCAUGAAAGCAAUGUUGGAACUUUAUACUCAGGUUUUGAUUGUGCAUCUAUCUCUUUGUUGUCUUAUCCUUUAUCUUCAUUUUUACCAAGUAAUUAUUGACCAUCAAAUGCCAUUAUGGUACCAACUUAAGAAAUGGAUGUAAAGAAUUCUACAGGGAAAAAAAGCACAUUGUCAGUGUAUGAAAUUUAUUUAGAAGACAGUUACAGACACAUAUAAAAAUGAUAGCAGCUUAUGUUUGCGAAGCACUCACUAUAUGCCAAGCACUUUCUGUUAGCUAAUAAUAAUAUUUGCUCAUUUAAUAUUAGCUCACAUAAUAAUAUUAAUAUUAUUAGCUCAUUUAAUCCUCUCAACAACUGUCUAGGGUAGGUACUAUUAUCCCUAUUUUAUGGACAAGGAAAUUAAGUCAACAAGAGAUGAAAUAAUUUGUUUACAGUCACAUAGCUAGGAAGUGGUAGAGUCAUAAGUUGAACCCAGGCAGUCUGAAUCCAGAAUAAUAAUAAUAAAAAAAGGUAUAACCAGGGUGGAAACUUAUUUUGCUCUUUUCAGGUUUCCUAGACUUUCCAUCACCACCAGUGAAUUCUGAGUGACAAUAGUGUGGAAUUUGGAAGAAUGGAAGAGAAACUGAAGUGGAGAGAUGGUGAAAGAGAAGAAAAAAUGAAGAAAGAUGCUUGCAAAAAUACUGCUGUGGGUCCUGAGAUGAGGAUUCUGGGAGGGCUGAAAUGGAUGCCCCUGACAGCUCCCUUUGAGUUCCUGUUCAUCUGAAGUACACCAGCUUUCUAGAUAUGCUGUCACUUUCCUUCUGCAGAGCCACAGUGGUGUCCUGUCUUCUCAGACCUCUUCUCACCUCAAAUCACUUAGGACUCGGCCACCAGACAGAUUUGGGAUUUCAGAACUUUUCAGAUGUUAGAAAGGCUGACCUGUGACUGCUUCGGCCAACUGAAUAGGGAAGAGUGAUGCUGUGCUGUUUCCAGGCCUGUUCUUUAAAAGUACUUGGAAGCUUCUGCCUUGGCCUCUUUGUGCCUGAGUUGCUGUAUAAGAAUCUGACUACCUUGCUGGAGAGACCUUGUGGAGAAGACUUGACCUUAUAUGCAGAGGUAGAGGGGCCCUGGUUAGUCCAGCCAUCUAGCCAUCCUGUCAAAAUAGCAGAUCCAUUUCCUGCCCUUCUUUUAUUCUACUCUGUAUUACAGCCAACCACAUUUCCAGGCUCCCUUGUCCUCUGCUAUCUAGGAGUAUGAUGGCCAAUGGAUCCAAAACCUAUCCUAUAUCUACAUGUUGGUGGCCACAUUAAUCUGACAUCUGACAGCAAGAGCGAUGAUUGGGUUCACUGGAAAUCUUUGUGAAGUACGAGUGAAGUCCUUGUGAAGUCAGAGUUUCCUCUUCAUGCCUCUACUCCUAUGCAGUUUGACCUCUCAGUGUGCAGCUGGUGAUAGAUGGAAACCCUUGUUCAUAAGCUUUGUGGCACUGUCGGCAGGAUGAGGGGACUUCUGGAUCCUCACUGGUCACUGUGGCAGAGUGGUUGGUGUUGUCUGCUCCCUAGACAGGAACCCACUGAAGAAUCUGACAUUUUUUGAUAUGCUGGCAUUCAUUGUUACAGCCCAUCAUCCCAGCCAUC
rnacentral:lncRNA from 1 species